GAACGCUGACGGCAGGCCUAACACAUGCAAGUCGAACGCUGUAGCAAUACAGAGUGGCAGACGGGUGAGUAACACGUGGGAAUCUUCCUAUCGGUACGGAAUAGCUCAGGGAAACUUGGGGUAAUACCGCAUACGCCCUUCGGGGGAAAGAUUUAUCGCCGAUAGAUGAGCCCGCGUCUGAUUAGCUAGUUGGUGAGGUAACGGCUCACCAAGGCGACGA
rnacentral:rRNA from 1 species